GCGGCAGUAGCUCAGUGGUAGAGCCUCUCCGCUUCGCAUGCGGGGAGACCUGGGUUCGAUACCCGGCUGCAUCC
rnacentral:tRNA from 1 species